rnacentral:lncRNA from 1 species
CAUGUUCUCACUCACAGGAGGUGCCAAGAAGAAAAGGAGCAAUCUACCAUCUGCUAGGCCAUCUGUUUCAUAAGACCUAUUCCUUAUUUAGAGCCAUUGGGGUUUUCAUUUCUUUAAAAAAAUGAUCAGCAUCAUCAAAGACCCCAAAUAAGAGCAUAUGAUAAUGUUAUCUAAUAGGCAUCUAGGUUAGCAGCAGAUUCUAUUUUUCUCCAAGUUGUUUCCCAGUUGAAUCAUGUCCUUCACAAUGUAUGUAAUAUGGAAAGAACACAAUCUGUGAAUCAGAAGCCCUAAGUCUGAAUCCUAACUCUGCUUCCUACUAACUUAUC